rnacentral:rRNA from 2 species
UCGCAGGCGGUUUCUUAAGUCUGAUGUGAAAGCCCCCGGCUCAACCGGGGAGGGUCAUUGGAAACUGGGGAACUUGAGUGCAGAAGAGGAGAGUGGAAUUCCACGUGUAGCGGUGAAAUGCGUAGAGAUGUGGAGGAACACCAGUGGCGAAGGCGACUCUCUGGUCUGUAACUGACGCUGAGGAGCGAAAGCGUGGGGAGCGAACAGGAUUAGAUACCCUGGUAGUCCACGCCGUAAACGAUGAGUGCUAAGUGUUAGGGGGUUUCCGCCCCUUAGUGCUGCAGCUAACGCAUUAAGCACUCCCCCCGGGGAGUACGGUCGCAAGACUGAAACUCAAAGGAAUUGACGGGGGCCCGCACAAGCGGUGGAGCAUGUGGUUUAAUUCGAAGCAACGCNAAGAACCUUACCNGGUCUUGACAUCC